rfam:Trichobilharzia regenti genome assembly, scaffold: TRE_scaffold0000995
ACCAGCUGACCAGUCCCAUAUAGGACGAAAUGCCCAUCCUGGAU